UACGGGGGGGGCAAGCGUUGUUCGGAAUUACUGGGCGUAAAGGGCUCGUAGGCGGCCAACUAAGUCGGACGUGAAAUCCCUCGGCUUAACCGGGGAACUGCGUCCGAUACUGGAUGGCUUGAGUUUGGGAGAGGGAUGCGGAAUUCCAGGUGUAGCGGUGAAAUGCGUAGAUAUCAAGUGGAACACCAGUGGCGAAGGCGAGUCUCUGGACAUUUCCUGACGCUGAGGCACGAAAGCCAGGGGAGCAAACGGG
rnacentral:rRNA from 1 species